GAGAGAUAACCACAUCCAGGCCACCAUAGAGCGAGUGGUUAGUGUUUGGUAGAGGGAACCGCAUGGUGAACUAAUGCUACCAACCCACUCGGGACUGAAGGGUGCUAUAGAUGGUGGUUGUGUGUUAUUGGACUACACUAAGAUGGCUGAUGGGUUUUAAUGGAACGUUAUGAUCAUCAGCGGUCUAUUCUGGAAGGUGAGGAACACCGGCGAGUGAGCUAACAUCGCAUUCUGAGACUGGAUUGAUACGGCAGCACUGUGGCUCAGCGGUUAGCACUGUGGCCUCACAGCAAGAAGGUCGCUGGUUUGAGUCUCGGCUGGGUCAGCUGGUGUUUCUGUGAGGAGUUUGCAUGUUCUCCCCGUGUUGGCGUGGGUUUCCUCUGGGUGUCCCCCACGGUCCAAACACAAGCGCUUUAGGGGAUUUGAUGAAUGUUAUUUUAUGAAAUGUUGAUUAAAAAUAAAUUAUCUGGAAAAAC
ensembl:antisense si:dkey-46i9.3 si:dkey-46i9.3